rnacentral:misc_RNA from 1 species
GAUGAAGAACGUAGCAAAAUGCGAUAAGUAAUGUGAAUUGCAGAAUUCAGUGAAUCAUCGAAUCUUUGAACGCACAUUGCGCCCGCUGGUAUUCCGGCGGGCAUGCCUGUUCGAGCGUCAUUUCAACCCUCAAGCCCCCGGGUUUGGUGUUGGGGAUCGGCUCUGCCCUUCUGGGCGGUGCCGCCCCCGAAAUACAUUGGCGGUCUCGCUGCAGCCUCCAUUGCGUAGUAGCUAACACCUCGCAACUGGAACGCGGCGCGGCCAUGCCGUAAAACACCAACUUCUGAAUGUUGACCUCGGAUCAGGUAGGAAUACCCGCUGAACUUAAGCAUAUCAAUAAGCGGAGGA